rnacentral:rRNA from 1 species
AACGAACGCUGGCGGCAGGCUUAACACAUGCAAGUCGAGCGCCCCGCAAGGGGAGCGGCAGACGGGUGAGUACCGCGUGGGAACGUACCUUUUGGUUCGGAACAACUCCGGGAAACUGGAGCUAAUACCGGAUAAGCCCUAACGGGGAAAGAUUUAUCGCCGAAAGAUCGGCCCGCGUCUGAUUAGCUAGUUGGUGAGGUAACGGCUCACCAAGGCGACGAUCAGUAGCUGGUCUGAGAGGAUGAUCAGCCACACUGGGACUGAGACACGGCCCAGACUCCUACGGGAAGAAGCAGUGGGGAAUAUUGGACAAUGGGCGCAAGCCUGAUCCAGCCAUGCCGCGUGAGUGAUGAAGGCCUUAGGGUUGUAAAGCUCUUUUGUCCGGGAAGAUAAUGACUGUACCGGAAGAAUAAGCCCCGGCUAACUUCGUG